rnacentral:rRNA from 1 species
UACGGAGGAUCCAAGCGUUAUCCGGAUUUAUUGGGUUUAAAGGGUGCGUAGGUGGGUUAUUAAGUCAGUGGUGAAAGCCUACAGCUUAACUGUAGAAUUGCCGUUGAUACUGAUAAUCUUGAGUGCAGUUGAGGCGGGCGGAAUGUGUCAUGUAGCGGUGAAAUGCUUAGAUAUGACACAGAACACCGAUUGCGAAGGCAGCUCGCUAAACUGUAACUGACACUGAGGCACGAAAGCGUGGGGAGCAAACAGG